rnacentral:snRNA from 1 species
CAUCUUGUUCUCUUCAGAUCGUACAAUCUUUCGCCUUUUACUAAAGAUUUCCGUGGAGGAACAACAAGAGUAUAUCCCAUUUUUGUUGCCCUGCUUUAGUGGGGU